rfam:Asian citrus Psyllid, Diaphorina citri - Florida Strain, whole genome shotgun sequence.
GCCUGCGGCGAUGGCACGUUGAAUGCACCAGUUUCUAAUGAAUCACUGAAGUUAAGCAACGUUGUGGUUGGUAUCCGGAUGGAUGGCCAUCUGGACAAUUGCGUGUUGUUUGCU